rnacentral:rRNA from 1 species
CUUGAUCCCUGGCUCAGGACGAACGCUGGCGGCGUGCCUAAUACAUGCAAGUCGAGCGGAUCUUGUCCUUCGGGAUAAGAUUAGCGGCGGACGGGUGAGUAACACGUGGGUAACCUGCCUGUAAGACUGGGAUAACAUUCGGAAACGAAUGCUAAUACCGGAUACGCGAUUUGGUCGCAUGAUCGAAUCGGGAAAGAUGGAGCAAUCUAUCACUUACAGAUGGACCCGCGGCGCAUUAGCUAGUUGGUGAGGUAACGGCUCACCAAGGCGACGAUGCGUAGCCGACCUGAGAGGGUGAUCGGCCACACUGGGACUGAGACACGGCCCAGACUCCUACGGGAGGCAGCAGUAGGGAAUCUUCCGCAAUGGACGAAAGUCUGACGGAGCAACGCCGCGUGAGUGAUGAAGGUUUUCGGAUCGUAAAGCUCUGUUGCCAGGGAAGAAUGCUUGGGAGAGUAACUGCUCUCAAGGUGACGGUACCUGAGAAGAAAGC